GAUGAACGCUGGCGGCGUGCUUAACACAUGCAAGUCGAACGGUGAAGGCGGAGCUUGCUCUGCUGGAUCAGUGGCGAACGGGUGAGUAACACGUGAGCAAUCUGCCCCUGACUCUGGGAUAAGCGCUGGAAACGGCGUCUAAUACUGGAUACGAGCUGUGAAGGCAUCUUCAGCAGCUGGAAAGAACUUCGGUCAGGGAUGAGCUCGCGGCCUAUCAGCUUGUUGGUGAGGUAACGGCUCACCAAGGCGUCGACGGGUAGCCGGCCUGAGAGGGUGACCGGCCACACUGGGACUGAGACACGGCCCAGACUCCUACGGGAGGCAGCAGUGGGGAAUAUUGCACAAUGGGCGAAAGCCUGAUGCAGCAACGCCGCGUGAGGGACGACGGCCUUCGGGUUGUAAACCUCUUUUAGCAGGGAAGAAGCGAAAGUGACGGUACCUGCAGAAAAAGCGCCGGCUAACUACGUG
rnacentral:rRNA from 1 species